GGGGAAUAUUGGACAAUGGGCGCAAGCCUGAUCCAGCCAUGCCGCGUGAGUGAUGAAGGCCCUAGGGUUGUAAAGCUCUUUCGGCGGGGACGAUAAUGACGGUACCCGCAGAAGAAGCCCCGGCUAACUUCGUGCCAGCAGCCGCGGUAAUACGAAGGGGGCUAGCGUUGUUCGGAAUCACUGGGCGUAAAGCGCACGUAGGCGGAUUAUUAAGUCGGGGGUGAAAUCCCGAGGCUCAACCUCGGAACUGCCUUCGAUACUGGUAAUCUUAGAGUCCGGGAGAGGUGAGUGGAACUCCGAGUGUAGAGGUGAAAUUCGUAGAUAUUCGGAAGAACACCAGUGGCGAAGGCGGCUCACUGGCCCGGUACUGACGCUGAGGUGCGAAAGCGUGGGGAGCAAAC
rnacentral:rRNA from 1 species